UCCAGACUCCUACGGGAGGCAGCAGUGGGGAAUAUUGGGCAAUGGGCGCAAGCCUGGCCCAGCAACGCCGCGUGAAGGAAGAAGGCUUUCGGGUUGUAAACUUCUUUUGACAGGGAAGAGCAGAAGACGGUACCUGUCGAAUAAGCCACGGCUAACUACGUGCCAGCAGCCGCGGUAAUACGUAGGUGGCAAGCGUUAUCCGGAUUUACUGGGUGUAAAGGGCGUGUAGGCGGGACUGCAAGUCAGAUGUGAAAACCAUGGGCUCAACCCAUGGCCUGCAUUUGAAACUGUAGUUCUUGAGUGUUGGAGAGGCAGGCGGAAUUCCGUGUGUAGCGGUGAAAUGCGUAGAUAUACGGAGGAACACCAGUGGCGAAGGCGGCCUGCUGGACAAUAACUGACGCUGAGGCGCGAAAGCGUGGGGAGCAAACAGGAUUAGAUACCCUAGUAC
rnacentral:rRNA from 1 species